rnacentral:rRNA from 1 species
GGAGUUAGCCGGUGCUUCUUCUGCGAGUAACGUCACAGAUGUAAGGUAUUAACUUACACCCUUUCCUCCUCGCUGAAAGUGCUUUACAACCAGAAGGCCUUCUUCACACACGCGGCAUGGCUGCAUCAGGGUUUCCCCCAUUGUGCAAUAUUCCCCACUGCUGCCUCCCGUAGGAGUCUGGGCCGUGUCUCAGUCCCAGUGUGGCUGAUCAUCCUCUCAGACCAGCUAGGGAUCGUCGCCUAGGUGAGCCUUUACCUCACCUACUAGCUAAUCCCACCUGGGCUUAUCCAUCAGCGCAAGGCCCGAAGGUCCCCUGCUUUCCCCCGUAGGGCGUAUGCGGUAUUAGCAGUCGUUUCCAACUGUUAUCCCCCACAAAUGGGCAAAUUCCCAGGCAUUACUCACCCGUCCGCCGCUCGUCAUCUUCAAAAGCAAGCUUUUGAAAUGUUACCGCUCGACUUGCAUGUGUUAGGCCUGCCGCCAGCGUUCAAUCUGAGCCAGGAUCAAAACUCUGA